AGAGUUUGAUUCUGGCUCAGAAUGAACGCUGGCGGCGUGCCUAACACAUGCAAGUCGCACGAGAAAGGCUGGGUUUCGGCUUGGCCGAGUAAAGUGGCGCACGGGUGAGUAACGCGUGGGUGACCUACCCUCGAAUCUGGGAUAACCUCGCGAAAGCGGGGCUAAUACUGGAUACGUCCCUUUGGGGAGAAAGCCGGCCUCUCGAAGAAGCUGGUGUUCGGGGAUGGGCCCGCGUCCUAUCAGCUAGUUGGUAGGGUAACGGCCUACCAAGGCGACGACGGGUAGCUGGUCUGAGAGGAUGAUCAGCCACACUGGCACUGGAACACGGGCCAGACUCCUACGGGAGGCAGCAGUGAGGAAUUUUGCGCAAUGGGAGCAAUCCUGACGCAGCAACGCCGCGUGGGUGAAGAAGGCCUUCGGGUCGUAAAGACCUGUCAGGAGGGAAGAACCUCGUUUGGGCGAACAGCCUGGACGACUGACGGUACCUCCAGAGGAAGCACCGGCUAACUCCGUGCCAGCAGCCGCGGUAAUACGGAGGGUGCGAGCGUUAUUCGGAAUUACUGGGCGUAAAGCGCGUGUAGGCGGCAGGGCAAGUCUGGUGUGAAAGCCCGGGGCUCAACCCCGGAAGUGCAUUGGAAACUGCUCUGCUUGAGUACCGGAGAGGAAGGGGGAAUUCCCGGUGUAGCGGUGAAAUGCGUAGAUAUCGGGAGGAAUACCAGUGGCGAAGGCGCCCUUCUGGACGGUUACUGACGCUGA
rnacentral:rRNA from 1 species